rnacentral:rRNA from 1 species
GUCCACGCCGUAAACGAUGAUAACUAGCUGUCAGGUCUCAUAGAGAUUUGGUGGCGCAGCUAACGCAUUAAGUUAUCCGCCUGGGGAGUACGGCCGCAAGGUUAAAACUCAAAUGAAUUGACGGGGGCCUGCACAAGCGGUGGAGCAUGUGGUUUAAUUCGAAGCAACGCGCAGAACCUUACCAGCGUUUGACAUGUCCGGACGAUUUCCAGAGAUGGAUCUCUUCCCUUCGGGGACUGGAACACAGGUGCUGCAUGGCUGUCGU